rnacentral:rRNA from 1 species
GACGAACGCUGGCGGCGUGCUUAACACAUGCAAGUCGAGGGCUCUGGUUCCGCAAGGGAUCAGGGACCGGCGAACGGGUGCGUAACACGUGAGCGACCUGCCCGCUUGUGGGGGAUAGCCGGCCCAACGGCCGGGUAAUACCGCAUACGUUCUUCUGGGGGCAUUCCCGGGGAAGAAAACUCAGGUGCAGGCGGAGGGGCUCGCGGCCUAUCAGCUAGUUGGCGGGGUAACGGCCCACCAAGGCUCUGACGGGUAGCUGGUCUGAGAGGAUGGCCAGCCACAUUGGGACUGAGAGACGGCCCAGACUCCUACGGGAGGCAGCAGUGGGGAAUCUUGCGCAAUGGCCGCAAGGCUGACGCAGCGACGCCGCGUGGGGAGGAA